GUGCUUGCUUUGGCAGCACAUAUACUAAAGUUGGAAUGAUACGGAGAUUAGCAUGGCCCCUGUGCAACGGUGACAUGCAAAUUCAUGAAGCGCUCCGUAUUUAU